rnacentral:rRNA from 1 species
UACGUAGGUGGCAAGCGUUGUCCGGAUUUACUGGGCGUAAAGAGCGCGCAGGCGGUCGUUCAAGUCGCGUGUGAAAGCCCCCCGGCUCAACUGGGGAGGGUCACGCGAUACUGAUCGACUCGAAGGCAGGAGAGGGUAGUGGAAUUCCCGGUGUAGUGGUGAAAUGCGUAGAUAUCGGGGAGGAACACCAGUGGCGAAGGCGACUCACCUGGCCCGUGUUGUGACGCUGAGGUGCGAAAGCGAGGGGAGCAAACAGGG